UUUUUAUUUAAAAGCUUAUGUUUCAUUUAGAACCAUUAUCACUUGAACACUUUUCUUACUCAUUCUUUUUUUUUAAUUAAGUUUAUUGGUAUAUUUUAGGUAUAAAACACAGUUAUGUUCCUCAUUGGGAUCUUGUACCUUUACAUGAUGUAUCUUAGUUCUUAUUUUUUCCCCGUUUCCCUGCUCUCCCUUCACCCCCUCCACUCUUCCCUAUUUACAAAGACUUUGUUUCCAUUUUUUCCUUUUCUCNUAUUUUUUAUUUUCCCUUCUUUCCUUGCCCCUACCCUUCCCACUUCCCCUACUCCUUUAGACCUUGUUUCUCAUAAUUAUUUUCUGCCAAGAAUGCUUUCUCUGUACUCUGUCUUGAUCUUACAAGAUUUGUUUUUAGGAUCUAACAUUAUCUUUUUCAAAAAUUAGAAAACAUUUUCUUGUUUCUAAUUUUUGAGUCCCUUUCAUUUUCUCUAACCAAAUUUUCCUUUUGUGUUGGUCUUUUAGAGGGGAAAGGAAUACAUCAAGAUUUUCUAGGUAGAAGGCCAUAUAAAUGACUCAAAUGGACUCUUUUUUCCUUUUUAAAAACAAUCUUUUUAUGGGCCGGGAAUUUGGCUCAGUGGUUCCGGCACCUGCCUCACAAGCACAAGGUCCUGAGUUCAAUCCCCGGUACCAAAGAAAAGAAAAAAUCCUUUUUUUUACUAAUUUGCACAUGAAAUUUGCAGUUUGUAUAAUUAUGAUUAUUCUUUUUAAUCCCAUUUUAUGAAAUAUUUGCUUAAAAGGAUCUUGGUAAGUCAUAGAGUGUAAUAUCUAAUACUAUCCCCUGUGAAACCACUGGUGCUGGUUUCUUUUUAAUUCUUAGGUCUCUUUAUUGAAUUUCUUUUAUUUAAGUGUAGUACUAUGUUUUUCAUUUCUGUUUCACUUGGUGCCAGAAUAGAUAACUGUUUUGAAUUUCAAUGUGCCAUUGUCUUCCCUGGAUAGGUUUAUAGAUACACCUUAUUCCAAUUCAUAUUAAGGUCUACAGUUGAAGGAUAUCUAUUUCUCUGUUGUGCUUAUAUUAGCUUACCACAUUUAUACAUCACUGUCACUAUCCUUAUCUUAUAAAUUGUCUGUCAUCUCUUAACUUGGGCCAUUUAGAUUCUGACUGGUCCUUAUGAUUCAGUAUUGUCUUGUUCCAAACGCUUUUCCCUUUUUUUUGGUACUGGAGAUUGAACUCAGGUUCUUGCACUUGUGAGGCAGGUGGCGGAACCACUGAGUUAAAUACCCGGCCCUGCUUUUCCUUUUUAGUAAAGCUGGGUUUUUGUUUUGUUUUGAUUUUUGAGAUAAAGUCUUGCUAAGUUGCCAAGGUUGGCCUCAAAAUCCUGGGCUCAAGUGAGUCCCCCAUCCCAGCUUCUUAAGCAGUAGCUGUGUAACCACAUCUAGUUUAGGACUGUGUUAAUGAUGCAUAUAUGAUUAUGUUAAUUUGAAUGUAUUGGAAGCAUUAACAAAAUUAUAAUGCUUAACAAGGUGACAUCACCUCCGAGAAGAUGAAAGUUGACUUUUUUUUUUAAGUUGACUUUUAUACAAAUUAAAAAUCUUAGAUCAUACAUUGGUUUAUAGCCCUCAAAGAGCUACAGAAUAUAAACAGAUAUGUGGUAUAUCUGUGGUAUUUAAUUUUCAUAGUAAUAAGGGACAGUGAUGAAAACAAGUUUGGGAAACACUGUUCUAGAGACUUUCUUGUCCUUAAAAUCAUCUUAAGUUAACAUGGAUUUCAAAGCCCACUGUGAGCUAGAUUCGGUUCAUUACUCUAUUUUUGUUUCUCAAUAUUUCUACCAAAUUGAAUUUCUUGUAUCAAUUAAAAGUUUAUAGAGGAUAACAUGGGAGAAUAUUUUCAUUAUUUUUGGAUAGAUAAAAAUUUCUGAAGCAGCAUACAGCAACUCAGUGUAAUAGAAAAGGUAAAAUUGAAUUUCAUUACAAUUAAGAAUGUCUGUUGUUUAACAGGAAACACCAAAUGCAAUACCAAGCCAUGUAGUGAGAGAUCUUCCCUAUAUAGAUAUUUACCACAGACCCCCCCAUUAAGUUUAUUGAUACAUUUUAGGUAUAAAAUACAAUUACGUACAUCAUUGGGAUCUUGUACCAUUACAUGAGUAUCUU
rnacentral:lncRNA from 1 species